UGGGGAAUUUUGGACAAUGGGCGAAAGCCUGAUCCAGCAAUGCCGCGUGUGUGAAGAAGGCCUUCGGGUUGUAAAGCACUUUUGUCCGGAAAGAAAUCCUUGGCUCUAAUACAGUCGGGGGAUGACGGUACCGGAAGAAUAAGCACCGGCUAACUACGUGCCAGCAGCCGCGGUAAUACGUAGGGUGCAAGCGUUAAUCGGAAUUACUGGGCGUAAAGCGUGCGCAGGGCGGUUUGCUAAGACCGAUGUGAAAUCCCGGGCUCAACCUGGGAACUGCAUUGGUGCACUGGCAGGCUAGAGUAUGGCAGAGGGGGGUAGAAUUCCACGUGUGAGCAGUGAAAUGCGUAGAGAUGUGGAGGAAUACCGAUGGCGAAGGCAGCCCCCUGGGCAAAUACUGACGCUCAUGCACGAAAGCGUGGGGAGCAAACAGGAUUAGAUACCCUGGUAGUCCACGCCCUAAA
rnacentral:rRNA from 1 species